AAUUCCUUUCCAUCGCUGAGCAGAACAUCCACAUCCUCUGGUUUUGUAUUGAAGAUGAUAUUUCAAGGGGCAGCAGGGGGAGGACGUUUAAAACCAACUUCAGGCUCAGUAAUAUCGGAGGGCAGACGACUAAACAGGCACUGAAAUGAAAGCAAACUACCAAGAAGAUGGCUCUCUGGGAGUCAGCAGGAUCACAGUACCCUAAGUACCAGCAAAACUGACUUUUGAAGCAGAACUACUGUUUCACCUUAACAAGUCAGUAUUAUAAAGAGAAAAGGAAAACAUUAGAAAUACGCUCAGUAUACAUACAGUUGAUCCAUAAUCAAUUGCCAUGGUCUGCAAACCCCACGGAACACCAAGGCCCACCAGAAUGUCAAAUACAUUACUUCCUAUUGUGUUGGAUACUGCCAUGUCACCAAGGCCUGCAAAGAAAAAGCAAAUUUCAGGUGAA